rnacentral:lncRNA from 1 species
GCUGUGGGGUUUCUAUGGGAUUUCUAUGGGGCAGAGCUAUAGGGAAGGACUAUGGGAUUUCCUGUGGGAUUUUCUAUAGGAUUUUCUAUGGGGCAGAGACCAUUUAGGACCCCGCUAUGGGGCAGAGCUUUGGGGUUUGCUAUGGGGCAGAGCUGUGGGGUUAUGGGGUUUCUAUGGGGCAGAGCUUAGGAGUUUUCAAUGGGGUUUUCUAUGGAUUUUCAAUGAGGUUUCUAUGGGGCAGAGACCAUUUAGGAUCCUGCUAUGGGGCAGAGCCAUGAGGUUUCCUAUGGGGUUUUCCAUGGGGCAGAGCUGUGGGGAUUUCUAUUGGGCAGAGACCAUCUAGAACCUCGCUAUAGGGCAGGUCUAUGGGGUUUUUUUACGGGGUUUUCUAUGGGGCAGAACUUUGGGACCCUGCUAUGGGGCAGAGCUAUGGGGCUUUCUAUGGGCUUUCUAUGGGAUUUCUAUGGGUUUUUCUAGGGGGUUUUCUAUGGGGCAGAGCUCUGGGACUCUGCUAUGGGGCAGAGCUAUGGGGUUUCUAUGGGGUUUUCUAUGGGGCCAAGCUCUGGGAUUUUCUAUGGGGGUUUCUAUGGGUCAGAACUUUGGGACUCUGCUAUGGGGCAGAGCUAUGGGGUUUCUAUGGGGUUUCUAUGGGGCCAAGCUCUGGGAUUUUCUAUGGGGGUUUCUAUGGGCCAGAACUUUGGGACCCUGCUGUAGGGCGGAGCUAUGGGGCACAGCUAUGGGGUUUUCUAUGGGGCCGAGCUCUGGGAUUUUCUGUGGGGUUUUCUAUAGGGUUUCUCUGGGAUUUCCUAUGGGAAUUUCUAUGGGGUUUUCUAUGCUAUGGGGCAGAGCUAUGGGGUUUUCUAUGGGGCUUUCUCCAUUCCCCGCACCCUCCGUGGGCCCCGUGGGGCUCUGGGGCCUCGCUAUGGGGCGGGGAGCCCCGAGGGGACCCCGCCCCGCCCCACCCGGCCCCACCCCGGCCCCGUUCCCAUAAAUGGGGGCGGUUCUGCCCCACGGGCCGGGGCCGGGCCGGGAUGUGGGGCCGGGCCAUGGGGGGGGCGCGGCCGCUGCUGCUGCUGCUGCUGCUGCUGCUGCUGCUGCCAGGUAUGGGGG